rnacentral:piRNA from 1 species
GUGCUUGGACUGAUUGAUACCUGAAG